rnacentral:rRNA from 1 species
GAGGGGGGUGCAAACGUUAUUCGGAUUUAUUGGGUGUAAAGGGUGUGUAGACGGGUUAUUAAGUUCGUUGUUAAAUCUUCUGGGCCUAACCAGAAGCUCGCGAUGAAAACUAAUAGUCUUGAGGAUGGAAGAGAGAAGUGGAAUUCUCGGAGUAGCGGUAAAAUGCGUAGAUCUCGAGAGGAACACCGAUGGCGAAGGCAGCUUCUUGGUCCAUUCCUGACGUUGAAACACGAAAGCGUGGGGAGCAAACAGGAUUAGAUACCCUGGUAGUCCACGCCGUAAACGAUGAUCACUAGAUGUUGGCCCUGUUUUGCAGGGUUAGUAUCGAAGCUAACGCGUUAAGUGAUCCACCUGGGAACUACGAUCGCAAGAUUA